CAGUGUUCGGCCAUCUGAACUGGUGAGUACAGCUGAUUCAUAACUAUCAAGUGCGAGAGAUUCAACGGCGUUUAGUCGCCUCUCCUAUUUCCUGCACGUCAUGAGUAUGAAGUGCCUAGCCCUCUGCGCUCUCGGGGCCAUAAUUUUUGUCGUGAAUACAAUGGUGUCAUCGACUUCCAUAGGAACGUGCAACGAGGGCCAGAAGCCUUUCUGUCUUGGACAAGGAUUACAGCCGGAAGAAUGCUUCUGCGUUUCCACUAACAGUUCAUGCCCACCCCCGACACAUAAUCAAUGUCCUGGAGGCCAUGAGCCGAAUUGCACGGAUGCUCCUCGUGCGUGCCUCUGCA